CUCCCCCUAGCGGUCGAGGCUGGCGGCACACGGGGCCCUUCCGCCCUCCCGUGCAGUCCUCCACACAUCGCGCUCCAUUCCGUUUCUCUGCGUCCCACUGCGUCUCUCUCCACUCCUCGAAUCAAUACCUUGUUGUUAUUUUUUUUAAUAUAUAUAUGUGUUGUAGAAGGAUCUAUUUACAAGUCUUAAUUAUAAAAAGCCUAAAAAUUUGUCUUAAAUUUCCUCACCCUGUGGUCUCCUUUAGCCUUGUUUUUAAUAUGUUGAUGUCUGUGAGUUAGCCUCAGUAGGAUUCAAAGUACAUCAGCUGAAUACUUCAGAAGGAAGAAAUAAUCUUAUGGAAGAGAACAGAAUGAAAUGGCUGCAGAUGAACCUGACCCAGUAUUUACUUGUGUGUCUAACAGAAAAAAACGUAUAUAUUUUCAUGGAUCUCAGAAGCUUGCAAAUUUCUCUCCGAAGUAUGAAAGAAGAUUCUUUGAUUUGUUGCAUUCUGCAGGUUCUCUGUGGGCCAAUAUAAUAGGAUGCUGCAAGCAAGAGAGAGGAAUUACUCCCCAGGCAAGCAUAAAGGGAGAAAUAAAAUGUAACAGCAGUACAAACUCUAAUUUGGACUGAAAGUUUGGAGUGACACAAAUUAAAACACUGAAGUCUGGAAGAGUUUUAGUGUUGACUUUAGUGAGAAUUUUGCCCAGUUUAAUGUAGCAUAAUCCAGGCCAGGAUUUAAGAACACCCUGCGUGCUGAUACCAGGCAGCACCAAACUGUAUUGAAUCAGAUAGAGAGUGGAAAGUCAGAGCAUGCUGUCUGUUCUGAGUAGCUUCAAGAAAUAGUACCUUUUAAAAUCUGUAUGAUCAUUUUUAGACAAAGAAAAAACGCCCCAAUACUUAUUAAUAUCAUCAUCUG
rnacentral:lncRNA from 1 species